AUAAGCGGAGGAAAAGAAACCAACAAUUGCCCUAGUAACGGCGAAGUGAAGCGGCAACAGCUCAAAUUUGAAAGCUGGCUCUCGGGCCCGCAUUGUAAUUUGCAGAGGAUGCUUCUGGCGACGCGCCUUCCGAGUUCCCUGGAACGGGACGCCAUAGAGGGUGAGAGCCCCGUCCGGUCGUGCGCCUAGCCUCUGUGAAGCUCCUUCGACGAGUCGAGUAGUUUGGGAAUGCUGCUCAAAAUGGGAGGUAUACGUCUUCUAAAGCUAAAUACCGGCCAGAGACCGAUAGCGCACAAGUAGAGUGAUCGAAAGAUGAAAAGCACUUUGAAAAGAGAGUUAAAAAGUACGUGAAAUUGUUGAAAGGGAAGCGCUCAUGACCAGACUUGGGCUGGCCCGAUCAUCCGGCGUUCUCGCCGGUGCACUCGGGCCGCCCAGGCCAGCAUCAGCUUUCGCCGGGGGAUAAAGGCGGCGGGAAUGUGGCUCCCUCGGGAGUGUUAUAGCCCGCCGUGCAAUACCCUGGUGGGGGCUGAGGUUCGCGCGUAUGCACGGAUGCUGGCGUAAUGGUUAUCAGCGACCCGUCUUGAAACACGGACCAAGGAGUCGUCUUCGUAUGCGAGUGUUCGGGUGUCAAACCCCUACGCGGAAUGAAAGUGAACGCUGGUGAGAGCUUCGGCGCAUCACCGACCGAUCCUGAUGUUCUCGGACGGAUUUGAGUAAGAGCAUACGGGGCCGGACCCGAAAGAAGGUGAACUAUGCCUGUAUAGGGUGAAGCCAGAGGAAACUCUGGUGGAGGCUCGCAGCGGUUCUGACGUGCAAAUCGAUCGUCAAAUAUGGGCAUGGGGGCGAAAGACUAAUCGAACCUUCUAGUAGCUGGUUUCCGCCGAAGUUUCCCUCAGGAUAGCAGUGUUGAGCUCAGUUUUAUGAGGUAAAGCGAAUGAUUAGGGACCCGGGGGCGCUAUUUAGCCUUCAUCCAUUCUCAAACUUUAAAUAUGUAAGAAG
rnacentral:rRNA from 1 species